GUUGCUUAAAAUCAGCUUAUAUUCUUCAGCGCGGCAGCCCAAAAUUACGAAAAAUAAAAAAAGGGAACAAACAUGCUCUCUUCUGAGCCAAUACGUUGCAGUGGAUGCCAAUCGACAGGCAUGUUGUUGGCCCCGUUGAUAUGGUAGGGAAGCAAGAGAAAAUUAAGGGAAUAAGAGAAUGAAUUGGGAAAACGGAAAGGGCAUAGGAAUUGAAGAGGUGUUUCAGAGAACUUGCAUCUUAAAAGCUUGAUUAUUGGGAAUUCAAAGUUUGAAUUUGAACUGUUUCAUUUUUGUUUGAUUAAUUGCAUUCUACUACAUAUGCACCAAAAUAAUUGCGUAACUCAAUUGAUC
rnacentral:misc_RNA from 1 species